GGAGAGAUGGCCGAGCGGCUUAAGGCGCACGCUUGGAAAGCGUGUGUACCGAAAGGUACCGUGGGUUCGAAUCCCACUCUCUCCGCCA
rnacentral:tRNA from 1 species